rnacentral:rRNA from 1 species
UACGGAGGGUGCAAGCGUUAUCCGGAUUUACUGGGUUUAAAGGGUGCGUAGGUGGGCAGUUAAGCCAGUGGUGAAAUCUCUGGGCUUAACCCGGAAACUGCCAUUGAUACUAUCUGUCUUGAAUACUCUGGAGGUAAGCGGAAUAUGUCAUGUAGCGGUGAAAUGCUUAGAUAUGACAUAGAACACCUAUUGCGAAGGCAGCUUACUACGGAGUUAUUGACACUGAGGCACGAAAGCGUGGGGAUCAAACAGG